GCCUGCGAGCUGCCUGCUCAGGCGGUAGAGCAUGAACCUCUUAAUCUCAAGGUUGCAGGUUUGAGCCCCACGUUGGGCA